rnacentral:lncRNA from 1 species
UUUAUUCUCUGUACUAUUCUCAAGAUUUCAAGCUAGGUUUAGGCAAAUAAAAGUGCACCGUUCAAGUUAUACAAGUAGCUAAAGAACUGAAUUGCUUUAAGUUACAUGGCAGAUACAGAACUGCAGCCCGAUAGCCAGUGCGGUGAAAACAUUUUUGAUAUCCCAUAUAUGUAAUAGUUUUAAUUCAAAGCAAUAAUGUUUUUUAAGAUCUUCAAUAUCACUAGAAUUCAAAAAUUUUACGUUGUGUCUCACAAGGCGCGUUUUUGGGACUUGAAGUGUCAAAGGUGUCCAAUAGAUGACAUAGGUGUUCUUGUUUAUCAUGUGAUGGCGGAUUGUUGGGUGGUUGUCGAAAGUUUUCUUUAAUUUUUCCAUGAAAGUUACCGAUGAAUUCAUCAGUAAAUUCAAGUUUAUUUCUGUGCAACUUGUUUGUAAUGUGAUUUAUUCCGUAUGUGUGUUGGAUCACCUUACAUAUUUCUAUUAUUACGUGUAGCAUGCGUGUAGGAAGGAACGCGAAAGGCAACUGAAACUACAGGUAGCCUACCAUCAAUUCUUUGAUUAAAAUCGCCGUUCUGCUGAAUGCUUUAUCCUGUUGAUGCAGAUCACUAACCCCAGCGUGGACAACACAUGUUGUUUUUUCAUGUUUUCUACAAAUAAUGCAUUGACACUUGACAGACAAACCAUGGGUAAUCUUCAGGUUAAUUGCAGCAACUUGGGACUUGGGAGAAGUCCUGUGAAAAGACACAGGGCACAUGACCAGAUUUGUGUUUUUCUGAAUGUUCUAUUCAACUAGUAGUUAGUUGGAACCCUAACUCAAACACAGACAACACAUUGCUGCUGCCUUACGGCCACAGGCAGGAAAAUGAUUCUUUUCUUCAGAAAAUUUUAGUGAAAGGCGUGAAGAAUUCAAGUUUAGCUGCUGCGUGCUGUCAGCAAGCAAGCAAUCCAAUUGAUGUCCACCAGGUGGCGCGAGUGUCUUCAAGGCCCAAAUUCGGCCAUUUUGUUCCUUGACGUAGCAGAAGUGAGAUGCCGGUCGUGACGUUUCCAAAAAUGAAAAGGUGAUUGAUCUUACCACUUUGCCAUCGGAAUUGAAAAUGCCUGUACAUUUGCCGAAUUGUCGUGCCUCGUGUGACUCGCUGCCUGUACCCAGUCGUACGUCUCAUCCCAUGCAACAUCAAAAGUCUAACAACCACGCUGCAGCCAGAUGGUGAAAGGUGUGAUGAAGAAAAGUUUACCCGUUGUAUGCAGGAUGUGGUGCCAGUGUUAUCCAGAAGUAGCUGUGCUGGAGUUAUUCCGAAGCAGCUGAGCCAGAAUUUUUCCAGAUUGCUGACUUCAACUUCAAAAUUUUAACUGCUUUCAUUUGUGUUUUUUGCUUUGCAAGUGGUAUCUGUGGUGCUGAUUUGAAAUAUUUUAUCCCCUUUUAUUUGUGGUUUUGCUCUGCCAGUGAGUUUCUGACUUGAAUUGGUUUCAUCUGUCGUCUUUUGCGUUUUUACUUGGGCAGUAUACGAUUGUGGCAAACUGAUUCUAUGUCAGUUUUGAUACAGUCGACAACUGCUAGAUUAAAUUCCGGCUUUCCGCACCAACAAAAUAAUAACGGCACAUGUUAUUAUCGCGGUUGGGAAAGUCACAGGCC